rnacentral:rRNA from 1 species
AUGCUACUCAAAGCGCUAAAUAACAUGACCUGUUACCAUGUUUUCACUAGGAAAGUUCUGGAUAACAAAAGAGACUAUAAUAAGUUCUUAAAGCGGGAGUUAUGGGGCCGGUGCCUUUUGACCCUCUUGUAUUGGCAGACAAAUUCUGAAAGACUGUACCGAGGCCCAAGCCCACAAGGGUCUUGCGAAGAAGGAGACCCAGUAGCAGGAGGGCCGAAUAAGGGCAACGAAGCAAGGCUAGGGGAACAAAAUCAGCAAAAAUACAUGAUUGAUCUCUUCUUCUUCAGCCUAGACAUCACCGGAUCUCCUUGGGACACCAGCGUGGAGCUCGGGCACAUGACUGUUGGGCUUGUACACUUUCCAGUUGCCUUCCAGUCCUAUACAUGUAUAUGUGAAUACGUAUACAUCUGUUAA